CCAAAGGCCCUCUUUAGGGCCAUUAAAAUCAAUAAAUUUGAUUUCU
rfam:Parastrongyloides trichosuri strain KNP genome assembly, scaffold: PTRK_scaffold0000018